rnacentral:rRNA from 1 species
AUUGAACGCUGGCGGCAGGCCUAACACAUGCAAGUCGAACGAGUGGCGGACGGGUGAGUAAUGUCUGGGAAACUGCCUGAUGGAGGGGGAUAACUACUGGAAACGGUAGCUAAUACCGCAUACCAUCGGAUGUGCCCAGAUGGGAUUAGCUAGUAGGUGGGGUAACGGCUCACCUAGGCGACGAUCCCUAGCUGGUCUGAGAGGAUGACCAGCCACACUGGAACUGAGACACGGUCCAGACUCCUACGUGAGGCAGCAGUGGGGAAUAUUGCACCAUGGGCGCAAGCCUGAUGCAUCCAUGCCGCGUGUAUGAAGAAGGCCUUCGGGUUGUAAAGUACUUUCAGCGAGGAGGCGUUACUCGCAGAAGAAGCACCGGCGAACUCCGUGCCAGCAGCCGCGGUAAUUC